UACGUAGGGGGCAAGCGUUGUCCGGAAUUACUGGGUGUAAAGGGAGCGCAGGCGGGACUGCAAGUUGGAAGUGAAAUACCGCAGCUUAACUGCGGAGCUGCUUCCAAAACUGUAGUUCUUGAGUGGAGUAGAGGUAGGCGGAAUUCCGAGUGUAGCGGUGAAAUGCGUAGAUAUUCGGAGGAACACCAGUGGCGAAGGCGGCCUACUGGGCUCUUACUGACGCUGAGGCUCGAAAGUGUGGGGAGCAAACAGG
rnacentral:misc_RNA from 1 species